rnacentral:rRNA from 1 species
CCUACGUGUGGCAGCAGUGAGGAAUAUUGGUCAAUGGCCGCGAGCCUGACCCAGCCAAGUCGCGUGAAGGAUGACUGCCCUACGGGUUUUAAACUUCUUUUAUAAAGGAAUAAAGUGCUGUACGUGUGCCUUUUUGUCUGUACUUUAUGAAUAUGCAUAGGCUAACUCCGUGCCAGCAGCCGCGGUAAUACGGUGGGUCCGAGCGUUACCCGGAUUGUUUGGGUUUAAAGGGAGCUUCGAUGGGUUUUUAAGUCAGUUGGUAAAGUCUGGGGGUAAAAUGUAAAAUUGCCAGUGAUACUGGAAGUCUUGAGUACAGAUGAGGUAGGCGGAAUUCGUGGUGUAGCGGUGAAAUGCUUAGAUAUCACGAAGAACGCCGAUAGCGAAGGCAGCAUACUAAACUGCAACUGACAUUGAUGCUCGAAAGUGUGGGUAGCAAACAGGAUUAGAUACCCUGGUAGGC